AGGACCUGGGUUGGGAUCUCAGCAGCCAUGAAAGAAAAAUAAUCAUUUCUGAUUGGGAACAUGUCAUAUCUUUCCCUGUUUUUCAAGACAGUUUCUUUCUUUGGCUAUCCUGGAACUCGAUCCUGCUUGCCUUGAACUCACAGAGGUCCACUUGCCUCUGCCAAAUGCUAGAUUUAAAGGUAUAUGGGUCUUCAUGUUUGUCUGUGCACCAUCUGUAUGUAUGCCUGGUACAUGUGGAGACCAGAAGAGGGUGCAGGAUCCCCUGAAACUGGAGUUACAAGUCCUCUUACGGUUGCCGCUUAGAGAUGAAGAAAUUAACGCUCGGAAGCCAAGCAUCUUUUAGGGUAAUCGCUGUCAGAAGAGAAGUUAAAGAAACACAGUAAAACCCAUCAUCAAUUAAAUGCUUGCACGCCUACUACUUUCUUCCACCUUGCCCAUGUGGAGGUUUCUUUUUGCUACAGGACACAUUAAGAAAUACAUAGUCUAUAUAACUUAAUUUUACUAGGAUAGAAAAAAUCUAUCUAGUGUAGUUCUUAAUCAUAAAUGGUAGGUCUAGGCUUUUUACACUAUAAUACUGGGAACCUCAACAGUUUUUUUUUUAAUGCAGUUGAGAAAUGUGCAUUAGAAUUGUGUCCUUCAAAAGAACUCCCAUACUGUUUGUAAGGCAGCAAGCAGAGUAUGCACAGACUUUGGGAAUAAAGACAGUAGAAUCCGGAACUGUAUUAAAAGGUCUUGCCAUUUGCCUCAGUUUCCUUAUUGGUAUACCAGAAGCAUUUGAACAGUCAUCUUCUGAGAACUAUGUAAUUUUAAUAUUCAGAUCCAUGCAAAUAAC